UAGCAUCUCUUCCUAAUGGUGGUUUUCAAAAUGUUCUGCACUCUCUGGAUAAAAUGCUUUGGAGUACUCACUAUCAAUUCAUCUUAGCUCAUGGAAACAGAAGUAAUCUAAAGCACAGCUGCUCAGGAUGCACACUGACUCAACUCGCUCCCCAGCAAUCUAGGAAGUCCCUCUACCUGGGAGAAGGCAGCCAUCUGCAAGUCGGGAAGAAAGCCAUCACUGGGGAACCAAAUCAGCCCUGCACUUUGAUCCUGGACUUGCCAGCCUCCAGAACUGUGAGAAAUAAAUUCUUGCUGUUU